rnacentral:rRNA from 1 species
AGCGAACGCUGGCGGCAGGCUUAACACAUGCAAGUCGAACGCACCUUUCGGGGUGAGUGGCGGACGGGUGAGUAACACGUGGGAACGUGCCCUCUAGUUCGGAAUAACCCAGGGAAACUUGGGCUAAUACCGGAUAAGCCCUUCGGGGGAAAGGAUUGAUCGCUAGAGGAUCGGCCCGCCGUCUGAUUAGCUAGUUGGUAGGGGUAAUGGCCUACCAAGGCGACGAUCAGUAGCUGGUCUGAGAGGA